rnacentral:rRNA from 1 species
UACGUAGGGGGCAAGCGUUGUCCGGAAUUAUUGGGCGUAAAGAGCUCGUAGGCGGCCUGUUGCGUCCGCUGUGAAAUCCCGGGGCUCAACCCCGGGCCUGCAGUGGAUACGGGCUGGCUAGAGGCAGGCAGGGGAGAACGGAAUUCCUGGUGUAGCGGUGAAAUGCGCAGAUAUCUGGAGGAACACCGGUGGCGAAGGCGGCAUCCUGGACCGGGCAUUGACGCUGAGGCGCGAAAGCCAGGGGAGCAAAGCGGG